UACGUAGGGUGCAAGCGUUGUCCGGAAUUAUUGGGCGUAAAGAGCUCGUAGGCGGUCUGUCGCGUCUGCUGUGAAAACUCAGGGCUUAACCCUGAGCUUGCAGUGGGUACGGGCAGACUAGAGUGCGGUAGGGGAGACUGGAAUUCCUGGUGUAGCGGUGAAAUGCGUAGAUAUCUGGAGGAAUACCGGUGGCGAAGGCGGCAUCCUGGACCAUUACGUGACGCUGAGGCGGCGAAAGCU
rnacentral:rRNA from 1 species